CCGACGGGCAAGAGGUGGUGGGCGAGCUGGGCUGGGGGGGGAGGCAAUCCCCUCCUGCGGUCACAAAGGCCUGGGCACAACUGCACCGUCACUGGGAAGGCCCCCCUGGAGGCCGGGGCAGAGGCAGGGCAGCCCCCUCCUCUCACACCUCUGUUAGGACGGCGUGUGCGGUCAGGACACCGGGGGCUUGGCUGGUCUUUGUAACCAGAGCUGGGAUGAUGCAGAUAUCAGCGAUACACAUGGGAGAUGGGAGUAGUCUUCAUCUCAUCUGGAAUCUGCCAAAGAACACGAACAAUUCUGAUUUUCCUAACGCAAAGCACUGCUAAAAGAGUGCACAGGGGUGCCCGCAGUAAAACUGUACAAGCUAUUUUCUUUCUAGCAGGUAUUUUCCAGGUGCUUGUAGAUCCCUCAUCAUUUUGCCUUUCAGACUGAACUUCUCUACAGGCAAGAUAAGCUUAUUUUAACAAGUGUGAAUGGAAGAAGAUCAAUAAUUUCUGAGUGAAAAAGCAUGUUUGCUGUGAUAAAAGGUGGAAGACAAAGUAGAAACUCUCGGGCCACUUCAGCCUCCAGAAAUACCUGUGGUUCCAGAAAAUUCAGGUGGAUACCCUGCAUCAGCUGAGGGCCUGCCUCGCCAUUGUUAUAUAUCUGUAGGAUACAAUCCAUGAAGGUCUGUAUGGGCUGAAUUAAGACUCCUAAAAUGUGAAUAUAACGUUAUUUUUCUCUCCCUCCCUUAGCCAUUUUUCCUGAUAACCCUCAAAAUCCUGAUUCGUUGCCUUUUUGUGACUUAAUUGGCCGGGAGUCUGAUCCAGAGUUUCCUGAGACAAUGUUGAUGUUGAUAUUAUCUCAUCUGUUUAACACUGGGAGCAGUACAAUCCCUUAUGCGUCACUAUUGUUAGCUACUCCUAGGGGGUUUUUUGCUGUUUUGUUGUUUUUUUUUUUUUU